rnacentral:rRNA from 1 species
ACGGGUGCGUAACACGUGAGCAACCUACCGAACUGUGGGGGAUAGCCGGCCUAACGGCCGAGUAAUACCGCAUACGCUUUCAGUGAGGCAUUUCAUUGAAAAGAAACCUACGGGACAGAUCGAGGGGCUCGCGGCCUAUCAGCUAAUUGGCGAGGUAAUGGCUCACCAAGGCUACGACGGGUAGCUGGUCUGAGAGGAUGGCCAGCCACAUUGGGACUGAGAUACGGCCCAGACUCCUACGGGAGGCAGCAGUGGGGAAUCUUGCGCAAUGGCCUAACGGCUGACGCAGCGACGCCGCGUGUGGGAUGAAGCUCUUCGGAGUGUAAACCACUGUUGCCCGGGACGAACAGCUCGAUUCAUCGAGCCUGACGGUACCGGGUGAGGAAGCACCGGCUAACUCCGUGCCAGCAGCCGCGGUAAUACGGGGGGUGCGAGCGUUGUCCGGAAUCACUGGGCGUAAAGGGCGCGUAGGUGGUUUGAUAAGGGUGUGGUGAAAGUCCGGGGCUCAACUCCGGAUCUGCCGUGCCGACUGUCAAACUCGAGGGCUGUAGAGGCAGACGGAAUUCCGGGUGUAGCGGUGGAAUGCGUAGA